AUAAUAUCUAAGAUACUCAAGAUUUUUGUUUUUUAUUCAUUAUGUGAUUAUCAUUUUUUUUUUUUUUUUUUUUUUUUUUAUUUGCAUAUAAAUUAGUGUCUUGCAACAAUGAUACAAAUUAAACACAAAUAUUAUAUAAAAGCUGGACAUAAAAAUGCAUGAUAUAACUUCAACUUGACAUUAAGCACGCAACAAUCAGUCAAUCCAUUGAAACUUUGCAAGGUAGACAACUCUUGAAAAUAUCAAAUAUGUUGAUUGCAUAUAAAAUUAAUUUGUGUAUUUUGUUUUUUGUAUUACAGUAAUGUCCAAUACAAAUGCAUUAUCAAAUCUUUACAGAUAAAAACAAAUUUAAACUUUUUGUGAAAAAAAUAAAAAACAAAAUAUGUUUUUUGGCCAAAUGCAAAUGUUACUUUGUACAACUGCUUUAAUAUUUUCACCAUAACAAGUAGUACAUAUGUAAACUAAUGUUUUUGCACACAUAUGUUAACUAAUAUUUUUGUAUACAUAUGUAAACCAAUGUUUUUGCACACAUAUGUUAACUAAUAUUUUUGUAUACAUAUGUAAACCAAUGUUUUUGUAAUGAGAAUUUUAUGAGGAGUUAUGUUGUAUUUGUAGUUUUGAACUUGAAAUCAAUAUUGCCCAUGUGAAACAUUUUGAUUCAGGUGAAAUACUUUCAAGAUGUAGCUGAGCAAAAUUAGUAAUGAUAUGUUAUUGCACUUUAUAAACUUAAAUUAGAAUUGACCACUUGACAAGAAAAUUGGUUUUACAUGGUUGUUAUUUCAGUCAUGCUGGAUUGUAUCAUGAUUCUAUUGUGUAACCAUGACAAGUCGCUUUGUGAUACAUUACAGCUAUUCUGGUCCGAGACCACAAUUAAUUCGUAGUGCAUUUCUUUUAGAACAUAAAUGAAAAUUUAAAAAAAUCCACCUGC
rnacentral:lncRNA from 1 species